CACCGCCCGUCACACCCUGGGAAUUGGUAUCGCCUGAAGCAUCGGACCAAUGAUCACCCAUACCACGGUAGGGUCUUCGACUGGGGUGAAUUCGUAACAAGGUAGCCGUAGGGGAACCUGUGGCUG
rnacentral:ncRNA from 1 species